rnacentral:rRNA from 1 species
UACGUAGGGUGCGAGCGUUAAUCGGAAUUACUGGGCGUAAAGCGUGCGCAGGCGGUUUUGUAAGACAGAUGUGAAAUCCCCGGGCUUAACUUGGGAACUGCAUUUGUGACUGCAAGACUAGAGUGCGGCAGAGGGGGGUAGAAUUCCACGUGUAGCGGUGAAAUGCGUAGAUAUGUGGAGGAAUAACGAUGGCGAAGGCAGCCACCUGGGUCGACACUGACGCUCAGGCACGAGAGCGUGGGGAGCAAACAGG